rnacentral:rRNA from 1 species
CGGUAGUCGUCAGAGAGUUUCGAUCCUACGGCUACGAGGACGAACGCUGGCGGCGUGCUUAACACAUGCAAGUCGAACGGAGUGCCCCUGAAAGAGUUUUCGGACAAUGGGAUGGGAACACUUAGUGGCGGACUGGUGAGUAACGCGUGAGGAACCUGCCUUCCAGAGGGGGACAACAGUUGGAAACGACUGCUAAUACCGCAUGAUACAUUUGAAUCGCAUGGUUUGAAUGUCAAAGAUUUAUCGCUGGAAGAUGGCCUCGCGUCUGAUUAGCUAGUUGGUGAGGUAACGGCCCACCAAGGCGACGAUCAGUAGCCGGACUGAGAGGUUGGCCGGCCACAUUGGGACUGAGAUACGGCCCAGACUCCUACGGGAGGCAGCAGUGGGGAAUAUUGGGCAAUGGACGCAAGUCUGACCCAGCAACGCCGCGUGAAGGAAGAAGGCUUUCGGGUUGUAAACUUCUUUUAAGGGGAAGAGCAGAAGACGGUACCCCUUGAAUAAGCCACGGCUAACUACGUG